ACUGCGGAAGGAUCAUUAUCGAAUACCACUUCGAGGAUAGGUUGUGCUGGUUGUCUUUUACCAAGACGACAUUUGUGCACACCUUUCUGACCCUCCUCUUUUAAAACCUGUGAACCUCUUGUAGGCCAAGAGAUUGGUCUACGUUUUACCAUUACAAACUCUUGUUGCAUGUACAUGAACGUUUGUUGAUAAUAAUAACACAACUUUCAACGAUGGAUCUCUUGGCUCUCGCAUCGAUGAAGAACGCAGCGAAAUGCGAUAAGUAAUGUGAAUUGCAGAAUUCAGUGAAUCAUCGAAUCUUUGAACGCACCUUGCGCUCCUUGGUUUUCCGAGGGGCAUGCCUGUUUGAGUGUCACGAAUUUCUCAACCUCAAUGAUUUGAUUAUCAUCGAGGCUUGGAUCAUGGAGGAUUUUGCUGGAUUUACAAAAGUCGGCUCCUCUGAAAUGCAUCAGUGAACCUAGUUGCCCUCAUUUUGCUUGUUGGCUUUGGUUUGAUAAUUGUCUAUGCCAUCGCUGUCUGCAAGUGAACAAAGUCGAAGGCUUCCUUGGUUUGCUACAAACCCUAACCUUAUGACGCUUUGACCUCAAAUCAGGUAGGACUACCCGCUGAACUUAAGCAUAUCAUA
rnacentral:rRNA from 1 species